ensembl:lncRNA MLF1-DT MLF1 divergent transcript
AAUCAACACAGUGGAGGCGAGAAGUCUGGCCUUGCGCCGGCCGGGGAGCUUUUCGCCAAGGCUCCUGUGGGAUGGGAUAGCUUGUUCUCUGGGCUGCAGGAACCAAAACAUUAGACCACCCUUUCUGUGACCUUGGGCAUGCCGCCCUCGGUUCCGAGCCGCAAGUCUUUCUUUCGGGGAAAAUGAAAAGGGGUCAAGAUUUGGACCAGAUGACACCCAAUGUCCCAUUCAACGGUCGCAUUCUGUCAUCCACAGGAAUUAGUCCUGUAUCCGAAACAUUCUCUGGUAGUCAAAAGCUGUGAGCAAAUAAUAAGAAAAAAUGUGCAAAACGUUUUUUAGUACAGUUAGCAAAUAGUGUACUCAGUUGUUGAAGGAAAUGGGAUGAAGCCUAUCAGAUUUCAACAAACUUAUUUACCUCUUGAGAAAGCUGCUCUCUUUUCGGUUGUCCUUCUGUGUCUCUCUUUCAAAGAUCAAGUCUCACUGCGAUGCUGAUAUGUUUUUAACACUUCUCCAGCAUUUCUUAACCUAACAGCAGGUUUCAGGCACAGGCCUGCAGCAAGCAGCCAUAUCCAACUAAAAUUCCACUACUAUAUGUUUUUAUUUGCAUUACAUUUAUCAGGGAGCUUUCUAUUUAUGGCAAGGAAACUGAUUUUAAAUUUAAAUCAGUGAUAUACAUCAAGAGCUAGAUUUUGCAUUUUUAAGUGAAAAAGUAAGCUAUCAAAUAGAACAGGUGGAAUUUGGAUAUGGUGGGGCGGAGGGGUAGGCAGAGCAGGGGAGAGGAACAUCGUGAUAGUGGUACUCAAAUUACUAAGUUUUAGAAAACACUAUCACGGGGCCUUUCAGGAGCCUGGAGACAGAUGGAGGGGAAGACAGAAGAGAGAUUAAGGAGAAGAAUGGUAAGAGUAUAAGAAAAGAGAAAAUACAUCUUGCAUGUCCACCCUUAAUUCAGUGAGCUCCCCAGCUUCUCUACGUGGCUGUCUUGCAGAGAUAAAGGGGCGUCCAUAGCUCAUCAGGGCCCCCUGGGAUCAGGCCAGAGGGGUGGCACUUUGCCAGCAUGAAGAAGUGUGCAAGCCCUGAUUUGGAGGUGACAGGAGUAGUCAGGGGUUAUUUUGAGAGCUGGAAAUUUAAUCGUUUGGAUCUUUUACUCCCCAUCCCCCUUUUUUAGCCAAGUUCUCUGGCAGCUUCCUUCCCCUGAGACUGGUGGCAUGGGGUAGGGCAGACUUCACAGCCCAAGAUGAGAUGGCACAGCCCAUCCAGGAAAGAGGAUAUUUUCUUUUCCUCUGGACUCAGAAUAAAGCUCAGAGAACAUAUACACAAAAUUUCGAAAAUUUCUAAAUAAAUUUCAAGGCAAACAAAA